ACAUGUGAAGGUGACCUGGCUGUAACAUCUGUCACCAGGGCUGAUGUGGCUAAUCUGGCUGGUAAGGCAGGUGUCCCUCCCUCCAUCAUCACUCCACAUGUGUGCCUCUGAAGCUGAGCACUCUGUUGAAGAGGACAACCUUCCCUGAAAGAGGGGGACCAUUGUUCUAUCCAGGAUAUAUGCUA
rnacentral:snRNA from 1 species